GAGAGAGAGAGAGAGAGAGAGAGAAAGAGAGAGAGAGAGUCCUGUAUACAGGAGUGUUUUUCUGAGGCUGACAUGUCAAAGCCAUAUGAUUACCUGUCCAUCACUUUAGGUUACCAAAUAA